CUGAAAGAAACCUAAAAACCUUCUCUCAACUCGCUCUCACUCUCAAACCCAUCUCCUCUCUUGCUCUCGCUUUCAUUCUCGCACCCAACAGAAAUCUUCGAACUGAAAACCCAAUCCAUCAUCAAUUUCUUCGAAUCUGACAUGGAAACUGAAAACCCAGAAUCAUCUCAACCAUCUCACCUCACAAAAUAGAAAACCCCAUUCUAGCCAAACGAUGUCUGUCUCAAUCUCAAUUCGUAUCUUGGUCUCAGUCUGAGUUCGCAUCUAUCACUGCUAGGCGAUUGCAUUGGGUAGCAGCACAAGCGAUUCAGGCUGAGGCUGUUAUCUCUUUAAUCCAAAAUAGGAAGAGGAAAGUUCAAGGGCAAGCCCACGGGUCACUACGACUUCUCCACUCACGAAGAGAUGGUGAAGUUUGGUCCAGUAAAGCAGUGAAGAUAAGUUAUAGGCUUCUGGUAGUGAUUUGGCUUGAAAUCUGAUAGUGAUUUCGAUUUGCAGCAGUCAAUUUGAAGGUAUUGGAGUUCGAUUCGUAGUAGGUCAUUUGAAGGUAUGAUUCCAAUUGAUUUCAUUAUAAAUCUGGGUUUGAGUUGUUCCGUUCUGACAAUCAUAUAGAGUAAGUGUCUAUGCUUUUUUGGGGAAUCUUUGUGGGGUAUUCCAACUGCUAUCCUUUCACUGAUGAAUGGGAAACCUCCGAUCUAUAUGAAGUUCCUCCUUCUGCCAAUGAAAAAGUCGAAAAUGUUUUAUCUGGUCAUUAGAGUAUAUCAUUAUAAAUUUAGUUGCUGGGUUGAUUUUCAGGUGAUUGUGUUUAUAGUGCAAGUGAUUGUGUUUAGUUGCUGGGUUGGAUUUCAUUUAGAAUUUGUCAACAGUAUGGUUGUUGGCAAUGUAUGAACUGUUUUGAUUGUAAGGAAAACUUGAUUAAGUUUUGAUAAUUGAAUUGUGGAGAGCAUGAACUGUUGGUAAUGUAGCCAUUAAGAGUUUAAUAUACUCGCCGGAGUUUGAUCGUGAGUAUUAGCUUUUGCUCACAUGUAUUAGGAGAAUCCAUGAUUGGGAAUGCUUGUCAUUUGGCCUUUUCUAUUUUGUUAAGAAACUGAAAAUAAAAUAAUUUUAACAACUUGCAUCAUCCUGCUCCAGCCAAAAGUAAAAGCAGUUUCAAUGUUGGGAAAUCACUUGUUGGAACAACAUAGUGGACAUCAUUGUUAGGUCCCCCAUCAAAUCGUUUAUCGUAUUCAGCUGUGCUUUGAAAUGGUGUCAUUCAAUGGUCUUUUUGAAUUGCGAUUAGAUUGUGGAUUUUGAUUUAGCCAUAAGUUGCAAAGCUGGGUUUCCAAGUUUUGAAAAUAGCCCUUAGAAAAGAUGGGUUGGUGGAGGAACUUUAUGUUGACCUUGCUUUCUAGUUUUAGUACUAUUUCAAUGUCUGUGUCUUCUUAAUUAAAGUUUUUGUGAUUGAAUUGGGUUGGUGCAAGUUCCCCUUCUUGGUGGAGCAUUUUGCGCAUGUACUUGGCAUUUCUUUUAUAACACCGAGUCUCUUGAGGUAAGAUCAUGUUUAGUGCAGCCGUAACUGUGGUCAGAAAGUCUACAAGGAAAUAUUUUCCUAGUCUCUUGCUUGCAUGAUGGCCGUUGUCCUCUUGUUCUCUCUUUCUCUAGUGUCUCUUUCUCUCUCUCCCUUUGAAAGAUAUGACGGCCUUGAAGGCAUGUGUGAAUUUGUUCUAUUAGAGAGACUGUUACUCAACAUAGUUAUUAUGGAAGAGAUCAAGAAAAGGCCAAUAUGGGUAGGCAUGGAAUAAUUGCAUAUUUGCUUUAUAUGUAUUUUCUGUCCUGCUUGUUUUUGUGCAUCACAUGCAUUACUCAACUCCCUGGUUGGUUGUUUUUAUGCAUCACAUGCUUCCUUAUGUAUUAGUUAUUGUGUGUCUUGGUUUCUUUAUGUGGGUUGAUGAUGAAACUCAGCAGUGACUACUACUGCAACGUGGAUUUCAGUGUUUUGUAAUGCUGUGUUUGUGGAAGUAUGUGUAUAUGUUCAUUCACUUUGGAUUAAUUUUUACUGUUUUCUGUCAAUUCAGAUUAUCCACAAUGAAAGGCUUAUUAGUUAGCUCAAAGUGAGAUCUGCUAUUGGUCAUAAUCAGCGUCCUCAUCAUAGUUCUUCUUCAAUCUUCUUCUAUUAGUACUAACAAGUCUAUUUAAUACUUGAUGAAUUCAGUCUUGCUGGAGAGCUUCAAGAAACAAACAAGAAGGGCAUUCCUGAGCAAAAUGGUGGCAAGAGUUGUGGUUAUUGGAUCAUGCGUUACAUGAAGGAAAUUGACAGGACUCGCCCUGAAUUUUACCCUGAAUUCCGAGGUGGCCUUGUGGGGCCCACCUUAGGAAUAACUCUACCGAAAAUUCAGCAGAGUCACCCCUAAAAUGGACUACCCAAAACCUGUAGAAUUACAUUCACACUUCUAAUAAACCAUCAUUAUUCUUCUGGAGCCACCCUGCUCCCCGAAACACAACAACUCCACAAUAAGUAACUGAAAUCCGAAAAAUAACAUAUUCUUAAUUACACCAAAGUAACUUCCAAACUUUAAGAUACUUAACCCAUAGGUUAUCAGAGCAAUAAAAAAAAAAA